CCUACGGGCGGCUGCAGUGGGGGAUAUUGGUCAAUGGGGGGAACCCUGAACCAGCGACACCGCGUGAGGGAAGAAGGUUUUCGGAUUGUAAACCUCUGUUGUCGGGGAAGAUAAUGACGGUACCCGAUGAGGAAGCCACGGCUAACUACGUGCCAGCAGCCGCGGUAAUACGUAGGUGGCAAGCGUUGUCCGGAAUUACUGGGUGUAAAGGGAGCGUAGGCGGGAAGGCAAGUUGAAUGUUAAAUCUAUCGGCUCAACCGAUAGCCGCGUUCAAAACUGUCUUUCUUGAGUGAAGUAGAGGCAAGCAGAAUUCCUAGUGUAGCGGUGAAAUGCGUAGAGAUUAGGAGGAAUACCAGUGGCGAAGGCGGCUUGCUGGGCUUUUACUGACGCUGAGGCUCGAAAGUGUGGGGAGCAAACAGGAUUAGAUACCCCUGUAGUC
rnacentral:rRNA from 1 species